UACGUAGAAGACUAGUGUUAUUCAUCUUUAUUAGGUUUAAAGGGUACCUAGACAGGAAAUUAAGCUAUAAUAAGAACUAAUUCCCUAGAGUUUUAUAAGAAAAAGGGGGCGAAUUUCCGGAGGAAAGUUGAUAUUUUUGUGAUACUGGAAGGACGGGUAACGGCGAAGGCAACCUUUUAAGUAAGAACUGACGUUUGAGGGACGAAGCCUUGGGUAACAAGAAGG
rnacentral:rRNA from 1 species